UACGGGGGGGGGCAAGCGUUGUUCGGAAUUACUGGGCGUAAAGGGCUCGUAGGCGGCCAACUAAGUCAGACGUGAAAUCCCUCGGCUUAACCGGGGAACUGCGUCUGAUACUGGAUGGCUUGAGUUUGGGAGAGGGAUGCGGAAUUCCAGGUGUAGCGGUGAAAUGCGUAGAUAUCGUAAGGAAGACCAGUGGCGAAGGCGGGUCUCUGGACAGUUCCUGACGCUGAGGCACGAAGGCCAGGGGAGCAAACAGG
rnacentral:rRNA from 1 species